GAAUGACUAAAUUAAAUAUGCAUGACUCAUAAUCGCUUGGUCACUGGUUCAAGUCCAGUAGGGGCCACCA
rnacentral:tRNA from 1 species